rnacentral:rRNA from 1 species
UACGUAGGGUGCGAGCGUUAAUCGGAAUUACUGGGCGUAAAGCGUGCGCAGGCGGUUUUGUAAGCCAGAUGUGAAAUCCCCGGGCUCAACCUGGGAACUGCAUUUGGGACUGCAAGGCUAGAGUACGGCAGAGGGGGGUAGAAUUCCUGGUGUAGCAGUGAAAUGCGUAGAGAUGUGGAGGAAUACCGAUGGCGAAGGCAGCCCCCUGGGACGUCACUGACGCUCAUGCACGAAAGCGUGGGGAGCAAACAGG